AGUGAACGCUGGCGGUAGGCCUAACACAUGCAAGUCGAACGGCAGCACAGUAAGAGCUUGCUCUUACGGGUGGCGAGUGGCGGACGGGUGAGGAAUACAUCGGAAUCUACUUUUUCGUGGGGGAUAACGUAGGGAAACUUCCGCUAAUACCGCAUACGACCUACGGGUGAAUGCAGGGGAUCUUCGGACCUUGCGCGAUUGUAUGAGCCGAUUGCGGAUUCGCUAGUUGGCGGGGUAAAGGCCCACCAAGGCCACGAUCCGUAGCUGGUCUGAGAGGAUGGUCCGCCACAAUGGAAAUGAGAAAAGGUCCAAACUCCCAAGGGGGGCAGCAGUGGGGAAUAUUGGACAAUGGGCGCAAGCCUGAUCCAGCAAUACCGCGUGGGUGAAGAAGGCCUUCGGGUUGUAAAGCCCUUUUGUUGGGAAAGAAAAGCAGCAGGUUAAUACCCCGCUGUUCUGACGGUACCCAAAGAAUAAGCACCGGCUAACUUCGUG
rnacentral:rRNA from 1 species